UACAGAGGUCCCAAGCGUUGUUCGGAUUUACUGGGCGUAAAGGGUGCGUAGGUGGUCGGGUAAGUCUCAUGUGAAAUCCCGCAGCUUAACUGCGGAACGGCAUGGGAUACUAUUCGGCUAGAGGAUUGGAGGGGGGACUGGAAUUCCCGGUGUAGCAGUGAAAUGCGUAGAUAUCGGGAGGAACACCAGUGGCGAAGGCGAGUCCCUGGACAAUUCCUGACGCUGAGGCACGAAAGCUAGGGGAGCAAACAGG
rnacentral:rRNA from 1 species